rnacentral:rRNA from 1 species
GACAGAGGGGGCAAGCGUUGCUCGGAAUUACUGGGCGUAAAGCGUGCGCAGGCGGUCUUGCAAGACAGAUGUGAAAUCCCCGGGCUUAACCUGGGAACUGCAUUUGUGACUGCAAGGCUGGAGUACGGUAGAGGGGGAUGGAAUUCCGCGUGUAGCAGUGAAAUGCGUAGAUAUGCGGAGGAACACCGAUGGCGAAGGCAAUCCCCUGGACCUGUACUGACGCUCAUGCACGAAAGCGUGGGGAGCAAACAGG